CCUUGAGUCGUUCGACUAAAAAAGAAUUAUGGAUUGGGAGGGGAUAAGUGAGCCACCCGCCCAGCCCGCAGCCUGUGGGAGGGAAAAUUUCGUCUCCUAGGUUUCCAGCUCGCUCUGAGCUGCCUUGCCUGGGAGUCUGGUAAGAGGCGCCACCUGCAACCAUUAUCCCACUGGCGCUGCCACCCACCACCGCCUCUCCGCCACUGCGCUCUGGCCCUUUCCCUCCAUUGCUCCUGCUCUCCCUGCAUCUGCUGGCUACUGGAUCCACUCAUCCGCCAGGUUGCAGCAAGCAAGCAUAACCCUUAGGUCUGAACUGCAAAGUCUACGCCAUUGGAGAUAUCUCCUUCAAGAAGCCAACUAGGAGCAAGGAUCCAGCAAGGAAAUAUGCUUAUUGGCCUGAUCUGACAAGCAAAGACGACAAUCAUGGACAUCCCUGACAAAAGCUCUUUGGACAUGGACAACACUACCAGUGUGUUCAGCAAUCAAAUCUUGAUGGGAACGAGCAUGGAUCCAACUUGUGCGUUCAGCAAUCAAAUCUUGAUGGGAACGAGCAUGGAUCCAACUUGUGCGCUCUCCGGAGCAACAACUCCUCCAGAUGGACUCUCUGAUGCGGAGCAUCCCAAGUCCUACCAAGUGCCAAGUAGACUCAUGACACGAGCACGUGCAAGAGCUCUCGAAUCAGAGGUGACAUCACUCCUCUCGCAACUCCCUUUCGAAUCAUAUGAGACAUGGCUACUACCUCAAACGGAGACACUUUGCAUACUUAGGUACCAAGGAGUUAGCCAUGGAGAAGCUAAGGAGCAAGGAGGAUCGGAAGAGGAGGACAUAUGCGAAGACAGAGAAGAGGAAGGGCAAGACAACAAAAACCCGGAUGAUUCGGACCGCCAUUCGGACGAUUCGGCUGCAGCCCGGACGAUCCGGACUACAGCCCGCACAAUCCAGCUACAGCGUCCUCGACCACAGCAGGCCUCUCUGCGAAGCCGGAUCAUCCAGAUGGAGUCCCGGAUCAUCCGGACCCAGCCGGACCUCCGGACCCCACUUCGGACAUCCGGGCCGCCGCCUGCCUCCUCGCCAUGUCUGGACCAUCCAGACCAUCUCCCGGAUCAUCCGGGUCCCUGAAGCCCGGAUUGUCCGGCUCCCCUUCCGGAUCAUCCCGACCCCCGCCUGUGCGCGCGUGUUAGGCCGAGGCCCAUGUACCCUUUCGUCCCCUUAGCCUAUAUAUACGACUCCUCCACUUUUCUAGGGUUAGCAAUGUGAUAGCUCAUUUUAGAGAUAGAGCUUUGCUCAUCCACUUGAUACUUUCUCCUUCGGAGACCGCAGGAGAAGAUCCCCCAAGUGGAUUCAAGAUCCCUCAUGGGAAGACCCCUCAAGACCUCCUCACGGAGAAGAACUACCGCCUUUUGUAUCGUCCUUUGUUGCAUUUGGAUCCUGUAUCACUCUUUAUGUUUGUGGAUCUAGCACAUGUGUGAUCGUUUCUCGUUGAUUUGAGUGUUUCCUCCCUCAUGUUUCACCUUAUGUUCUUGGUGUUCUUCGUAGGAUCCCCUCCAAAUCGUGAAAGACCGGCCAUAGGGCUUCCACCCUACAUCACUCCCACUAAAGAAAAGAUGUGUAGAUGGAUAGCUAGGCCGGCAUUUGAUUCUUGAGUUGCACGCUUUGUUCGCUAUACCUUUUCCCCUGGCCUCUCCCAUGUUUCAUACAGAAUCUGUUGCAUGCCAGAUGGACUCUCACUAAACAAAAGAUGUGUAGAUGGAUAAAUAGGCCACCAUUUGAUUCUUGAGUUGCACGCUUUAUUCCCUAUACCUUUUCCCCUGGCCUCUGCCGUGUUUCAUACAGAAUCUGUUGCAUGCCAGAUGGACUCCCACUAAAGAAAAGAUGUGUAGAUGAAUAGAUAGGCCAACAUUUGUUUCUUGAGUUGCAUGCAUGUUCCCUAUACCUUUUCCCCUGGCCUUUCCUGUGUUUCAUACAGAAUCUGUUGCAUGCCAGAUGGAUUCUCACUAAAGAAAAGAUGUGUACAUGGAUAGAUAGGCCGGCAUUUGAUUCUUGAGUUGCACGCUUUGUUCCUUAUACCUUUUCCCUUGGCCUCUCUCGUGUUUCAUACAGAAUUUGUUGCAUGCCAGAUGGACUCCCAGUAAAGAAAAGAUGUGUAGAUGGAUAGAUAGGCCGACAGUUGAUUCUUGAGUUGCACGCUUUGUUCCGUAUACCUUUCCCUGUGGCCUCCCCCGAUAGAGAAUCUGUUGCAUGGCAGAUGGACUCCCACUAAAGAAAACAUGUGUAGAUGGAUAGAUAGGACGACAUUUGAUUCUUGAGUUGCACGCUUUGUUCCCUAUACUUUUUCCCCUGGCUCUCCCGUGUUUUAUAAAGAAUCUGUUGCAUGCCAGAUGGACUCCUACUAAAGAAAAGAUGUGUAGAUGGAUAGAUAGGCCGGCAUUUGAUUCUUGAGUUGCACGCAUUGUUCCCCAUACGUUUCCCCCGGCCUCUCCCGUGUUUUAUACAGAAUCUGUUGCAUGCCAGAUAGACUCCCACUAAAGAAAAGAUGUGUAGAUGGAUAGAUAGGUCGACAUUUGAUGAGUUGCAUGCUUUGUUCCCUGUACCUUUUCCCCUGGCCUCUUCUGUGUUUCAUACAUAAUCUGUUGCAUGUCAGAUGGACUCCCUCAUGUGGAGCAUUCUAAGGUCAUCCCCAUAGACCUAUCAUCGUCUCACCAAGUGCCAAGUGGACCCAUGACACGAGCACGUGCAAGAGCUCUCAAAACCGAGGUGACAUCACUCCUCUUGCAACUCCCUUUCGAAUCAUAUGAGACAUGGCUACUACCUCAAACAAAGACAUUUUGCAUACUCAGGUACCAAGGAGUUAGCCAUGGAGAAGCUAAGGAGCAAGGAGGAUCGAAAGAGGAGGACAUACGCAAAGACGGAGAAGAGAAAGGGCAAGACAGCAGAAGUCCGGAUGAUCCAGACCGUCGUCCGGACGAUCCAACCCCAGCCCGGACGAUCCGGACCACGGCGCGGACAAUCCGACUACAACGCCCUCGACCACAGCAGGCCUCUUCGUGAAGUCGGAUCAUUCGGACCUAGUCGGAUGUCUGGACCCCACUCCGGACAUCCGGGCCGCCGCUUGCCUCCUCGGCACGUCCGGACCAUCCAGACCAUCUCCCGGAUCAUCCGGGUCCCUGAAGCCCGGAUCGUUCGGCUCCCCUUCCGGAUCAUUCGGACCCCCGCCUGUGCGUGUGUGUUGGGCCGAGGCCAAUGUACCCUUUUGUCCCCUUAGCCUAUAUAUAUGACUCCUCCACUUUUGUAGGGUUAGCAAUGUGAUAGCUCAUUUUGGAGAUAGAGCUUUGCUCAUCCACUUGAUACUUUCUCCUUCGGAGACCGCGACCUUUAUGGAGAAGAUCCCCCAAGUGGAUUCAAGACCCCUCACGGGAAGACCCCUCAAGACCUCCUCAUGGAGAAGAACUACCGCCUCUUGUAUCGUCCUUUGUUGCAUUUGGAUAUUUUAUCAUUCUUUAUGUUCGUGGAUCUAGCACAUGUGUGAUCAUUUCUCGUUGAUUUGAGUAUUUCCCACCUCGUGUUU